CCCCUCCCAGCAUCGUACCUAGCAAGUGUCCAGUACUCUGCCACUCUCGACUAUGGGAGGAAAAGUCAAGCAGAGGCAUAUCCAUUCCAUUCCUAGCUUGGGCAGUGGCUAGCGAGUGGAAGACAAUCUGCUACAAGU